UACAGAGGCCCCAAGCGUUACUGAGAAUCACUGGGUUUAAAGGGUGCGUAGGCGGCGCGGUAAGUCGGGUGUGAAAUCUCGGAGCUUAACUCCGAAACUGCAUUCGAUACUGCCGUGCUUGAGGACUGGAGAGGAGACUGGAAUUUACGGUGUAGCGGUGAAAUGCGUAGAUAUCGUAAGGAAGACCAGUGGCGAAGGCGGGUCUCUGGACAGUUCCUGACGCUGAGGCACGAAGGUCAGGGGAGCAAACGGG
rnacentral:rRNA from 1 species